rnacentral:rRNA from 1 species
GGAUGACCGCUGGCGGCGUGCUUACCACAUGCAAGUCGAACGAGAAAUGUAGACGGAACCCUUCGGGCGGAAGCCUUCAUUUCGAGUGGCGGACGGGUGAGUAACGCGUGGGUAACCUGCCUCAUACAGGGGGAUAACAGUUGGAAACGACUGUUAAUACCGCAUAAGACCACAGCAUCGCAUGAUGCGGGGGUAAAAACUCCGGUGGUAUGAGAUGGACCCGCGUUCGAUUAGCCAGUUGGCGGGGUAACGGCCCACCAAAGCGACGAUCGAUAGCCGAUCUGAGAGGAUGACCGGCCACAUUGGGACUGAGACACGGCCCAAACUCCUACGGGAGGCAGCAGUGGGGAAUAUUGCACAAUGGGGGAAACCCUGAUGCAGCGACGCCGCGUGAGUGAAGAAGUACUUCGGUAUGUAAAGCUCUAUCAGCAGGGAAGAAAAUGACGGUACCUGAGUAAGAAGCCCCGGCUAACUACGUG